CGCGUUUUGUUUGAGAUAAUGUCGUAAGCAGGGAGGAGUCAAUAACUCAAGCAACGGGAAGAGUUUGCCUGUUUAAAACUCAGAAUUGCAAGAAGCCUUGGAGACCUAUUACACUAACAUCUCCUAGAUUGGCAUCUGGACAAGACACUACUCCUCAAGAUAUCAGUAGAACUUUCUGUUCACUGAAAAAAAUUGGGACAAUGCAUCUCAAAGUGUAGCCUGCAGACCACCUGGAAACUGUCACUGGUCCUUAAGGAGAUAAAUACAAAACCUGAGAUGAUGCUAAGCAGUAUGGAGCGCCCUCUGUUGGAACCUAAAGAAGUUUACUAAAGAAGUGGAGUGGCAACCUAAAACUCAGUCCCAGCUUUAACUUGGCUCAUCUUUAUAUCUAAGUGAAGAUCAUCUCUAAGACUGGGAUAUCUACACAGAACAAGGGCUUCCCACCUUCCUCUGUUUUCAGCCUAGGAGCAACCAUGAAAGGAAAGGAGCAAAUGCAAUCUGUAUGAUAAUAGAUUCUAUUUGAACAUGAUUAA